GGUUCGAUCCUGGCUCAGAUUGAACGCUGGCGGAUGCUUUACAUGCAAGUCGAACGGCAGCACGGACUUCAGGUCUGGUGGCGAGUGGCGAACGGGUGAGUAAUGUAUCGGGUGAUGCCUAGUAAGCGGGGAACAACUACGCGAAAGCGUAGCUGUCUGCAUACGCCCUUCGGGGAAAGCGGGGGACCUUCGGGCCUCACUAUUAGAGCGGCGAUAUCGGAUUAGCUAGUUGGUGGUGGCUCGCAAGGCGACGAUCCGUAGCUGGUUUGAGAGGACGACCAGCCACACUGGGACGAGACACGGCCCAGACUCCUACAGGAGGCAGCAGUGGGGAAUUUUGGACAAUGGGGAAACCCUGAUCAGCCAUCCCGCGUGCGAUGAAGGCCUUCGGGUUGUAAAGCACUUUUGGCAGGAAAGAAACGGCACGGGAUAAUACCCCGUGCAACUGACGGUACCUGCAGAAUAAGCACCGGCUAACUACGUGCCAGCAGCCGCGGUAAUACGUAGGGUGCAAGCGUUAAUCGGAAUUACUGGGCGUAAAGCGUGCGCAGGCGGUUCCGGAAAGAAAGAUGUGGAAAUCCAGAGCUUAACUGGAACUGCAUUUUUAACUACAAAAUGAGGUGUGUGUCAGAGGAGGUGGAAUUCCGCGAUGUGGCGGUAGAAAUGCGACAAGAUAUACCGGAACACCGAUGGCGAAGGCAGCCUCACAGGAUAACACUGACGCUCAUGCACACAACGUGGGAGCAAACAAGUUAGAUACCCUGGUAAUUCACGCCCUAAGCUGAUGUCAACUAACUGUGCGAGGCCUUCAGACCCGCUGGUAGCGCAAUAACGGCAAAGUUGACCGCCUGAUGCAGUCGCAGAUUAAACUCAAAGGAAUUGACGGGGACCCGCACAAGCGGUGGAUGAUGUGGAUUAAUUCGAUGCAACGCGAAAAACCUUACUGCCCUUGACAUGUCUGGAAUCCCGAAGAUUUGGGAGUGCUCGCAAAACGGAACACAGGUGCUGCAUGGCUGUCGUCAGCUCGUGUCGUGAGAUGUUGGGUUAAGUCCCGCAACAGCGCAGCCCUUGUCGUGGGAUUUAUGCUGAAGGGCACUCUAAUGGGGACUGCCGGUGACAAACCGGAGGAAGGUGGGGAUGACGUCAAGUCCUCACUGGCCCUUAUGGGUAGGGCUUCACGUCAUACAAUGGUGGGACAGAGGGUCGCCAACCCAUGAGGGGAGCUAAUCCGAAACCCGAUCGUAGUCCGGAUCUCAGUCUGCCAACUCGACUGCGUGGAAGUCGGAAUCGCUAGUAAUGCGCGGAUCAGCAUGUCGCGGUGAAUACGUUCUUGGGUCUUGUACACACCGCCCGUCACACCAUAGAGGUGCAGGUUUUACCGAAGUAAUUCGCCUAACCGUACAGGAGGGCGAUUACACGGUAGGAUUCAUGACUGGGGGUGGAAGUCGUAACAAGGUAG
rnacentral:rRNA from 1 species